rnacentral:rRNA from 1 species
CCCUUAGAUGUUCUGGGCCGCACGCGCGCUACACUGAUGCAUUCAACGAGUUACCUUGGCCGAGAGGCCUGGGCAAUCUUUUGAACGUGCAUCGUGAUAGGGAUAGAUUAUUGCAAUUAUUAAUCUUGAACGAGGAAUUCCUAGUAAACGCAGUUCAUCAAACUGCAUUGAUUACGUCCCUGCCCUUUGUACACACCGCCCGUCGCGCCUACCGAUUGGAUGGUCCGGUGAAGCCUCGGGAUUGUGGCCAGUGCCUUUUUGGUUUUGGUUGCGAGAACUUGUCUAAACCUUAUCAUCUAGAGGAAGGUGAAGUCGUAACA